rnacentral:rRNA from 1 species
CUCCUACGGGAGGCAGCAGUGGGGAAUUUUGGACAAUGGGCGCAAGCCUGAUCCAGCAAUGCCGCGUGAGUGAAGAAGGCCUUCGGGUUGUAAAGCUCUUUUGUCAGGGAAGAAACGGUGCGGGCUAAUAUCCCGCACUAAUGACGGUACCUGAAGAAUAAGCACCGGCUAACUACGUGCCAGCAGCCGCGGUAAUACGUAGGUGACAAGCGUUGUCCGGAUUUACUGGGCGUAAAGAGCGCGCAGGCGGUCGUUCAAGUCGAGUGUGAAAGCCCCCGGCUCAACUGGGGAGGGUCAUUCGAUACUGAUCGACUCGAAGGCAGGAGAGGGAAGCGGAAUUCCCGGUGUAGUGGUGAAAUGCGUAGAUAUCGGGAGGAACACCAGUGGCGAAGGCGACUUUCUGGCCUGUUCUUGACGCUGAGGCGCGAAAGCUAGGGGAGCAAACGGGAUUAGAUACCCCGGUAGUCCUAGCCGUAAACGAUGGAUACUAGGUGUUGGUGGUAUCAACCCCGCCAGUGCCGUAGCUAACGCAUUAAGUAUCCCGCCUGGGGAGUACGGCCGCAAGGCUAAAACUCAAAGGAAUUGACGG